UACAGAGGGUGCGAGCGUUGUCCGGAAUCACUGGGCGUAAAGGGCGACGUAGGCGGCUUUUCAAGCGUGCGGUGAAAGCUCGGGGCUUAACUCCGAGUCUGCCGUGCGAACUGGGAGGCUUGAGUCUGGUAGAGGUCGAUGGAAUUCCGGGUGUAGCGGUGGAAUGCGUAGAAGAUCCGGAAGAACACCGGUGGCGAAGGCGGUCGACUGGGCCAGUACUGACGCUGAGGCGCGACAGCGUGGGAGCAAACAGG
rnacentral:rRNA from 1 species